rnacentral:rRNA from 1 species
UACGUAGGGGGCGAGCGUUGUCCGGAAUCACUGGGCGUAAAGGGCGCGUAGGCGGUAAUAUAAGUCAGAUGUGAAAGGUGGGGGCUCAACCCCUAGAGUGCAACUGAUACUGUAUAACUUGAGUGUGAGAGAGGGAAGCGGAAUUCCUAGUGUAGCGGUGAAAUGCGUAGAUAUUAGGAAGAACACCAGUGGCGAAGGCGGAUUACUGGACGACAACUGACGGUGAGGCGCGAAAGCGUGGGGAGCAAACAGG